UACGUAGGGUGCAAGCGUUAUCCGGAAUUAUUGGGCGUAAAGAGCUCGUAGGCGGUUUGUCGCGUCUGCUGUGAAAACCCGAGGCUCAACCUCGGGCCUGCAGUGGGUACGGGCAGACUAGAGUCCGGUAGGGGAGCGUGGAAUUCCUGGUGUAGCGGUGAAAUGCGCAGAUAUCAGGAGGAACACCAGCGGCGAAGGCGGCAUCCUGGACUGGUCCUGACACUCAUGAGCGAAAGCGUGGGGAGCGAUCCGG
rnacentral:rRNA from 1 species